CAAUAGCGUAUAUUAAAGCUGUUGCGGUUAAAAAGCUCGUAGUUGGAUUUCUGGUAGGAUGACUGUGCCCUCAGUAGAGUGUGCGCUGGCGUCUUGCCAUCCUUCUGUUAACCUUUGGGAGCUUCACCGCUCCCUUUGGGGCUCAGAUAUUUUACCUUGAGAAAAUUAGAGUGUUUCAGGCAGGCUAGCGCCGGAAUACAUUAGCAUGGAAUAAUGGAAUAGGACUUUUGCCUCUUCUGUUGGUCAUGGGGUUCGAGUAAUGAUUAAUAGGGAUAGUUGGGGGCAUUAGUACUUCACUGUCAGAGGUGAAAUUCUCGGAUUUGUGAAAGACUAACUUAUGCGAAAGCAUUUGCCAAGGAUGUUUUCAUUAA
rnacentral:rRNA from 1 species